GUUACAUUUAUUCAGGUUUUGUCGCAACUAUUAAAAAUGUCAGACACGGAUGUGGAAAACUAUUUACCAGCUGCACUUAAAGCUGCUGCUGGUGGAAAUAUGCUGCAAAGCAAUAAUUGGCUUACGGGCGGCGCUG